CGAACGGGUGAGUAACGCGUGAGGAACCUGCCUCAAAGAGGGGGACAACAGUUGGGAACGACUGCUAAUACCGCAUAAGCCCACGGCUCGGCAUCGAGCAGAGGGAAAAGGAGUGAUCCGCUUUGAGAUGGCCUCGCGUCCGAUUAGCUAGUUGGUGAGGUAACGGCCCACCAAGGCGACGAUCGGUAGCCGGACUGAGAGGUUGAACGGCCACAUUGGGACUGAGACACGGCCCAG
rnacentral:rRNA from 1 species